rnacentral:misc_RNA from 1 species
UGCAGACAUGUCGGAAGAGAUG